UAGCAUGGGGUGCAAACGUUGCUCGGAAUUAUUGGGCGUAAAGCGCACGUAGGCGGUUCGUUAAGUCGGAUGUGAAAGCCCUCGGCUCAACUGAGGAAGUGCACCCGAAACUGGCGAGCUUGAGUACGAAAGAGGAUCGCGGAAUUCCCGGUGUAGAGGUGAAAUUCGUAGAUAUCGGGAGGAACACCGGUGGCGAAGGCGGCGAUCUGGGAUCGAUACUGACGCUGAGGUGCGAAAGCGUGGGGAGCAAACAGG
rnacentral:rRNA from 1 species